AUGUGCGUGGCGUGUCAUGACGUAGACGUAGACGUAGACGUAGACGUAGACGUAGACGUAGACGUAGACAGACCUGGCCUGAGGAAAAUGUCAGGUAGACCUAGAUGUGGAAGGAGAUUUCUUCAAGGCUUGUUUUCUGUUCCGCAGAUCGGGUCAAUACUAGGAAAGCAUUCAGUUACCCUACCCUCCAAGAAAAUAAAUUGGACUGAAGUUAAGACACAAGGUUUACUAGAAUAUUUUAUCUGUGAGUUUUGGGGUGAAAGAACAAUAAAUGGUAAUACCUGAUGAACUGGCUGCAUUAUAGUAACCUGGAACUGUCCUCUUAAGUCAUAUUAGUGUGUUUAUGUUUAUCAUGUUCAUUCUUUUAUAUGUUUGAGAAAAAUCUCAUUUAGCAACUGAUAGACUGACUGCUCUCAACUAGGAUGAAAUUCUUUGGAGACACCUUCUUGGGUAUAAAGGAUAAUAUAUUGCCCCUAUCUGCAGAAGUCUACUUUUCUUUUUAACUACAGCACAUAUCAAUGUGAAUAGAGUACUCUAUAAGCAAGCAUUCACAGAAUCAGAAUAGUGCCCAAGAGUGUAAAUAUUAGCAUCAUAGAAUAUUUCCACAUAGCAUCACUGUUGCUGAAAAAUGUAUGAUGUGAUAAGCUUCAUGCCUGCUUAGAGUGAACUACAUCCAGGAGUUGAAUAUGUUCAACUGAGACUGAGUCUUGUGCAUACUAUGAUUUCUAGGUAAGUACUACAAUGUACUCAAAUUUCACCCAUGUCACAUGUAAUAGAUGGCAAUGAUACUUGUGGUGACAACCUAUGCUGACUCUUGAGUGUGGGGCAAUGUAACUAGCAAGGUCUGAAAACUGAAGGGACUUCAAGAGAAUGUCUGAGCUGAAAUAAUCCAUACCUGCUAAUCAUUGUACCUUAUAACUACACCCGUCCUUAGUACACAGAUAAAGCAUUUUAGAAAAGUCUAUUAUCAUCUACACAAAGAUAAUUAUCCAUAUCUUCAUAUUUUAUCCACAGCAUCUUUUGUUCAACUUUUGUAAAUAUUUUUAUUAAAAAUAUUUAUGUGAAUUUUAUGAUAUGCAAGAAACUUUGUAAGUACUUUACACAGUACCUGUGUAAGUAUUAACACAUACUUAAUCCUCAUAGAAACCCUGAUAAACAUGUCUUUUGCNAAUGCAAGAAACUUUGUAAGUACUUUACAAGUAUUAACACAUACUUAAUCCUCAUAGAAACCCUGAUAAACAUGUCUUUUGCCCAUUUCAUGAUUGGAUUGUUUGUUUCUUUGCUG
rnacentral:lncRNA from 1 species